GCGGCCUGCCUCCGGCCCCAUCUGCCUCCCAAGGCCCGGAUCCCUCAAGAGCAGCAGAGAAGACAGGCGGCGAGCCGAGGGCAGGGCC